rnacentral:misc_RNA from 1 species
AACGCACCUUGCGCUCCUUGGUAUUCCGAGGAGCAUGCCUGUUUGAGUGUCAUUAAAUUCUCAACCAUACAAGUUUUUCGAACCUGUCUGGCUUGGAUCAUGGGAUUUGCAGGCUUUCACUAGUCGGCUAUCCUUAAAUGCAUUAGCAGAGCUUUUGCCGCUAACCUCUGGUGUGAUAAUUAUCUACGCCAUUGAGACGCGACAUCUUGAGGCUCAGCUUCUAACCGUCCUCACGGACAACAUUUGACAAUCUGACCUCAAAUCAGGUAGGACUACCCGCUGAACUUAA